GUGCUCACUUCGGCAGCACAUAUACUAAAAUUGGAACGAUACAGAGAAGAUCACAUUGGCCCCUGCGCAAGGAUGACAUGCAAAUUCGAGAAGCGUUCCAUAUUUAU
ensembl:snRNA U6 U6 spliceosomal RNA